CUUACCAAAUUAUCAUCUUGACAAUUUUAGAAGACUUAUAUUUACCUAUAAAAUAAAUGUAGUACUUAUCUCCAAAAGAUAAUUCCAAUAAAAAAAACACAAAAAAGUGAAAAUAACUCAUUAUCUUUCAUCUCCUAAACCACCAAAAAUGGUGAAAUUUUUUGGCUCCAAUAUUUUCCCACUAAAAGAAUCAGUUAUUAUUAACCCCAGAUUUCAUUUCUUCAUCUCACUAGUACAUUCCCAAUGUCAACCUUAGAUGUCACGGCCAUUAGCUAUUACAAUUUCUUUUCCACUCAAUUUUUACCAAAUUAAUUUAAUACUUCCUCCCGAGAACCCAAUUCAUCUUACAGUAAUUCCCAUAAAUUGCUGGAGUCAAGCUUCCACAUGCGGAAGUUAUGGCGGAGCUUUCUCAACAACCAACAACUCCGGCCACCGCAAAUCUCAUUUCCGACGACGAUUGCUCUGUUGACGGUGAUUCUUGGUCUAUUAAGAUUUAAGAGCGAAUAUGAAGACGAGCUCUCGCUGCUGCUAAUCUCCGCCCUUCCUCUAAUUACAGGAUUUGCCUGCAAUGAUUGUAGUUGCAGAAUAAAUAUUGGCUGAUUUGUAAGAAGCUAUGCAUUAUUCAUCAAUCUUUUGCAAGAAGUCCAAAAGGCAAUGUAUACAAUGUUGCUAAAGAAUCUCAAAUCUACCUCAGGGUUGUUCUUCCUACCUCCUACUUGGGCUGUAUGGGUUGUUUUAAUCGUGGCAGUGCUGUAGUGAACAAGCAUAACUUCAAGUUUACUAAAGAUUGGUAAAUCGACAAUGAAUUCAAACUUUGGUCUUAAGUUGAAGGUGUUGCUGCUACUGCUCUUGGUAUUGCUGCUACUGUUCUUAGUGUCUGGAUGAUGCUGAUGUUGCUUGUGUUCUCUCUACAAAGGAAACAAAGUUCCUUAAUUUUCCAAUGCUUUGCCUUGUGUGCACAAGUUCUUUCUGUUGGUCGUUGAUUUGCUAGUGCCUAUCGUUGGUGUUGCUGCUUGUUGUUUCUUAUGCUAUAUCGUCUCAUGGUGUAACUCUCAGCAAGAGUCAGUGUCCAAAGGCACCUGAUGAGUGAGAAAGAAUGAGUCAGAUCCCACAUGCUUCGCUAAUAGGAUCGAUCAUGUACGCCAUGAUAUGUACAAGGCCAGAUGUAUCGUAUGCAUUGAGUGCUACGAGCCGAUACCAAUCAGACUUGGGAGAGGCGUAUUGGAAUGCGGCCAAGAAUAUCCUAAAAUAACUGAAAAGGAACAAGGAUAAAAACCUGGUCUAUGGUGGGAGUAUGGAUUUGAUUGUUGAAGGUUAUACCGAUGCAAGCUUCUAGAAUGACAGAGACAACUUCAAAUCGCAAUCUAGAUACAUAUUCUGUCUAAAUGGCGGAGCGUUUAGUUGGAAGAGUGCUAAGCAAAGCACGGUUGUAUAUUCUACAACUGAAGCCGAGUACUUAGCAGCCUUAGAAGCAGCUAAGGAGGCAAUUUGGAUUCAAAAUUUUAUUGGUCAACUUGGUGUUGUGCCUUCAAUCAAGAGACCGAUUAACCUGUUUAUGGCAAUAAUGGGGCUAUUGCUCAGGCCAAGGAACCGAGGCAACACCAAAAGGUCAAACAUGUCGAGCAGCGAGUUCACCUCAUAAGGGAAUAGAUUUCCGAAGGUGAAGUCAAGGUUUGUAAAGUUGGAAUGGACGAUAACAUAGCCAAUCCACUUACUAAACCUUUGCCUCAAGUGAAACACAACAAGCACAUUGAGGCAAUGGGAAUUAGGCACAUUGGAGACUGGCUCAAAGUUCCUAUUUUAUGUGUUUUAAUUAAGUUUUGGACAUCUUGAUGUAAAACACUAAGUUAACCAUUCAUAUAUGGAGUAAUUUUAUUUUAUACAAAAAUUAUUAUUCCAUAUCUAUUUAAUUAUUGUGGUUUAGAAUUAAAUAAUGAGUCCAUUCGAUUUGAUGACAUUCAAAAUAGGUUAUCAAGAAAAUGUCUUGGAUAAAUUAAGAAACACCUAUUAAGUGAACAUUGAAUGUCAUAUCAAAACUAUCU